GGGAAGGUGGCUCAGUGGUAGAGUGCUUGCCUUGCAUGCAGGAGGCCCUGGGUGCCAUUCCU
rfam:Dipodomys ordii contig_14454, whole genome shotgun sequence.